rnacentral:rRNA from 1 species
CCUACGGGUGGCAGCAGUGGGGGAUAUUGCACAAUGGGGGGAACCCUGAUGCAGCGACGCCGCGUGGGUGAAGGAGUGCUUCGGCAUGUAAAGCCCUAUCGGCAGGGAAGAAGCAAGACGGUACCUGACUAAGAAGCCCCGGCUAACUACGUGCCAGCAGCCGCGGUAAUACGUAGGGGGCGAGCGUUAUCCGGAUUCACUGGGUGUAACGGGAGCGUAGACGGCCAUGCAAGCCAGGGGUGAAAGCCCGGGGCCCAACCCCGGGACUGCCCUUGGAACUGUGCGGCUAGAGUGCGGGAGGGGCAGGCGGAAUUCCUGGUGUAGCGGUGAAAUGCGUAGAUAUCAGGAGGAACACCGAUUGCGAAGGCAGCUCACUGGACUGCAACUGACACUGAGGCUCGAAGGUGUGGGUAUCAAACAGGAUUAGAUACCCCUGUAGUC